rnacentral:rRNA from 1 species
AUUGAACGCUGGCGGCAGGCCUAACACAUGCGAGUCGAGCGGAUGAAGGGAGCUUGCUCCUGGAUUCAGCGGCGGACGGGUGAGUAAUGCCUAGGAAUCUGCCUGGUAGUGGGGGAUAACGUCCGGAAACGGGCGCUAAUACCGCAUACGUCCUGAGGGAGAAAGUGGGGGAUCUUCGGACCUCACGCUAUCAGAUGAGCCUAGGUCGGAUUAGCUAGUUGGUGGGGUAAAGGCCUACCAAGGCGACGAUCCGUAACUGGUCUGAGAGGAUGAUCAGUCACACUGGAACUGAGACACAGUCCAGACUCCUACGGGAGGCAGCAGUGGGGAAUAUUGGACAAUGGGCGAAAGCCUGAUCCAGCCAUGCCGCGUGUGUGAAGAAGGUCUUCGGAUUGUAAAGCACUUUAAGUUGGGAGGAAGGGCAGUAAGUUAAUACCUUGCUGUUUUGACGUUACCAACAGAAUAAGCACCGGCUAACUUCGUG